rnacentral:rRNA from 1 species
CAGUCGCCGCGGUAAUGCAGAGGAUGCAAGCGUUAUCCGGAACGAUUGGGCGUAAAGCGUCUGUAGGUGGCUUUUCAAGUCCGCCGUCAAAUCCCCGGGCUCAACCCUGGACAAGCAGUGGAAACUACCAAGCUGGAGUACAGUAGGGGCAGAGUGAAUUUCCGGUGGAGCGAUGAAAUGCGUUGAGAUCAGAAAGAACACCAACGGCGAAAGCACUCUGCUGGGCCGACACUGACACCAAGAGACGAAAGCUAGAGGAGCAAAUGGGAUUAGAUACCCGUGUAGUCCCUGUCUCUUAUAC